rnacentral:rRNA from 1 species
AUGGAGAUGCCAAUGCUAGAAUCAGAUAAGACUGCACCAAAGGUCUUCUUUGAGCUGCCUGUUUGGAACAAGAACACAUUUAUGCAAUACCUCAUGCUCAGUGCUUUUCCUAAGGUGCUUAAUCUAGCCAUCAAUAAUUUCACUGGUGUGAUUCCGGAGGAGAUCGGUCAGUUAAAAGGACUCGUCGCACUCAAUUUAAGCUCAAAUGAGUUAUCUGGAGAGAUCCCUCAAGCAAUCUGCAACCUCAGGAACCUGCAGGUGCUCGACUUAUCUAUUAACCAUCUUACUGGUGUAAUUCCAGCUGCACUAAAUAAUCUGAACUUCCUUUCUGAGUUUGACAUUUCUAAUAAUGACCUAGAAGGCCCCAUUCCAACCGGGGGGGCAGCUUAG